GCGGGGCUUGAACUCACGGACCGCGAGAUCGUGACCUGACUGAAGUCGGACGCUUAACCGAUUGUGCCACCCAGGCGCCCCCCAACUCUUUUUUGACCAGUGUUAGCAUGAUCUGUCUUUUCCCUUUUAUAAUUUGUAGGUUGCAUUAAGUGAAGUUUGCUUUAUUUUAUUUUAUUUUUUUUAGAUCCAGUAAUCUGUGCCUUUUAACUGGGGUGUUUAGACUGUUUACAUUAAUGGGAUUAUUGGCAUUCCACGUUUUGUCUGCCGUCUCGCCGUUUAUUUUCUGCUGACCUCAUCUAGGGUUUGUUGCCUUUUCUCGUUUUUCUGCCUAAUUUGGGGUACACUUUGGUGCCCUUUAUGAUUUCCUUUUAUUCCUUUUGUUGGCUUAUUAGCUGUGACUCUGUCAUUUCAUGGUUAUACUUGAGACUGGAGAACUGUAAGCCUGCAAGAUCGAACACUCUGCUUUCCAGCCCAGCCUCCAGCAUUUCCUGUGCUACACUCCUCACUGGGACCAUGCCCAGUGUGUGGGGGCCGGUUCCGCCCCAGACCUGCUCAUGUGCAGCCAUUAAAGUUUUGGUGUGUUUCCUUUCAAUCCCAUCAAAGUCCUUCUUUACAACGCUGACGUUGUUUUCAGUCACGUUGUCCUAAUUUUUUUUUUUUUUUGCCUAAAGUGACUUUUACUGCUGUGAUACUUUGUCCCCCAUUCUCCCCUAGAUUCUUCCCCAUCCUUCAUUUGUUCCUUUUUUGUGGUUACACAAACUUUUUGAACUUUACUUUUAAGUUUAAGACCUCUCUUAUCUCCCAUCAUUUUGUGGUGAUCACGGGGGACUCAUCUUCUGUUUCCUUGGUUGAUUUCUCUCGCAGUUGAUACUUUUUUAAAAAGUACCUUUCAUCCUGCUCCCCUCCCUCUCCCCCUGCCUUUUUUGGCGGGGAUAGGUUUCAUGAUCUUCAUUUGCUUGCUGUUUCUAAAUUUGAAUACACCCAGAGCUGGGUCAGUCUGCAGCUCUGAUUUCUUUAGUCAUUUCAAGCUCUUAUGCAGAAAUCUGAUUUAUUGUUUUACUUUUUGGCUCUGUGGGCACAUUCUCUACCAUAUUUUGUGCUCACCACUGAGCUGCUUUGUUCCCGGCCUCUCUGUGGUCACCCAGAGAUGUUUGUCACUCCUGUUCACCUCUUCCACCUCCAGCACAGCAGUGUCUCUGGCUAGGUCACAGGCAAUUAAAAUGGCCUGUCUGCUAAGUUCCACCUUGAAGUUCACCUUCCUGACCAUCCGGUGGGGUCCACUGGGUCAACACAGGGCCAGUCCUGUGGCCUUGACCAUACCCCUGGGUUUUGUCCCGAUUAGAGAUUAUGUAUUUAUUUUUGGAUAAACCUUUCAUAUCUGUGACAUUUAAUUUCAAGGAAAUUGGUUUCCUGCUUGAUGUCUGAGGAGGUAUUUGUUGAGAUUCAGCCUUACCAAAAAUAAUAAUAAUAAUAAUGGCCAUGGCAUCUUCCGGGUGUGUUGCCUACAUUAUCUCUAAUUCCCCAGCAGCCCUGCAUGGUAAAUAUUAUCUCUGUUUUGCAGAUCCAUUUUAUUCAUACCCUGCCAUGUUCCAGGAAGGUUUCUAGAAGGCUUUAUAAGGAUUCAUAAAGUACAGCAUCAUAAUGAAAGAGCCAAUGGUGAGAAUGCUGCCUUUCCAGUGUGGUUCUGCUGUAACUGUCUGCGUCCACGGCUUCUGAUAGUCCUCCGGGACCCGCACAUCCAAGAGACCAGGCAACACUGAGCACCAAGGGCAUGCUUCGAAACGCGAAAUCCAGCCUUACCUGGAGACUGGCUUUUUAGUUGCAAGAACCAAUGAGUUUCCCAUUUUGGCGGGGUGUGGGGGGGGGCAUCCUGUUUGUCAUACUUUGUUGGUGGCCCUAGAAAACAAAUACACUGGGUAAAUAUC